rnacentral:rRNA from 1 species
AUUGAACGCUAGCGGGAUGCCUUACACAUGCAAGUCGAACGGUGUGGCGAACGGGUGAGUAAUGUAUCGGAACGUGCCCAGCAGCGGGGGAUAACUACGCGUAAGCGUAGCUAAUCCCGCAUACUAUUUGAGCGGCCGAUAUGGGAUUAGCUCGUUGGUGGGGUAACGGCUCACCACGGCGACGAUCCGGAGCUGGUUUGCGAGGACGACCAGCCACACUGGGACUGAGAGACGGCCCAGACUCCUACGGGAGGCAGCAGUGGGGAAUGUUGGACAAAGGGGGAAAGCCUGAUCCAGCCAUCCCGCGUGUGCGAGGAAGGCCUUCGGGUUGUAAAGCACUUUUGGCAGGGAAGCGGUACCUGAAGAAUAAGCACCGGCUAACUACGUGCCAGCCGCCGCGGUAAUAC